AAGGCCACAGAUGAUCUCCCCUGUUCUGGAGGAAAAUGGAAGUCAAUGGUGAAGCAAGAGCUGGAGGUGAAGGAGUGAGAGGAAGAGGAGGAAGAGGACGAGGAAGGACAGUUGUCUCAGAUGAGAUCAGGGCCACAUUGGUUGACCAUGUGCUCAAACAUGGAUUGAGUAUGAGGGAGGCUGGGCAGAGAGUUCAGCCCAACCUGAGCCGCUACACGGUUGCGUCUGUCAUCCGUACAUUCAGAAAUGAGAACCGAACUGAGAGACGGCCAGGCCAUGGUGGAAGACAAUAUUCAAUAAGAUUCACCAGGUGGGCUUGUCUACAUUGGACCGUGUAUUACAACACAACUGAAUCCGGAUGAAACAGGUCUACAGGGAGCCAUUUGAGCGAAACUCAGAGAGGUUAAAUAACAGCGCUAUGAAUAUGUGCAAAGAGUCUUGGAGCUGGAUGUCUUGGAGCUGGAUGCCUUGGAGCUGGAUGCCUUGGAGCUGGAUGUCUUGGAGCUGGAUGUCUUGGAGCUGGAUGUCUUGGAGCUGGAUGCCUUGGAGCUGGAUGCCUUGGAGCUGGAUGUCUUGGAGCUGGAUCCCUUGGAGCUGGAUGCCUUGGAGCUGGAUGCCUUGGAGCUGGAUGUCUUGGAGCUGGAUGCCUUGGAGCUGGAUGCCUUGGAGCUGGAUGCCUCUGCAAAUCAACACAUUUAUGUUCACAGUUGAUGAGGCUUCAACCAAGCCAAAAGAAGGGGACGGAACAUUAAAUCAAAUCAAAUGUUAUUUGUCACAUACACAUGGUUAGCAGAUGUUAAUGCGAUUGUAGCGAAAUGCUUGUGCUUCUAGUUCCGACAAUGCAGUAAUA